rnacentral:tRNA from 1 species
GGGGUUGUAGCUCAGUGGUAGAGUGCUUGCCUUGCAUGCGUGAGGCCCUAGGUUCGAUCCUCAACACCA